GACGAACGCUGGCGGCGUGCUUAACACAUGCAAGUCGAACGGAAAGGCCCUGCUUGCAGGGUACUCGAGUGGCGAACGGGUGAGUAACACGUGGGUGAUCUGCCCUGCACUUCGGGAUAAGCCUGGGAAACUGGGUCUAAUACCGGAUAGGAGCCAUUUUUAGUGUGAUGGUUGGAAAGUUUUUUCGGUGUAGGAUGAGCUCGCGGCCUAUCAGCUUGUUGGUGGGGUAAUGGCCUACCAAGGCGGCGACGGGUAGCCGGCCUGAGAGGGGGGACGGCCACAUUGGGCCUGAGAUACGGCCCAGACUCCUACGGGAGGCAGCAGUGGGGAAUAUUGCACAAUGGGCGCAAGCCUGAUGCAGCGACGCCGCGUGGGGGAUGACGGCCUUCGGGUUGUAAACUCCUUUCGCUAGGGACGAAGCUUUUGUGACGGUACCUAGAUAAGAAGCACCGGCUAACUACGUGCCAGCAGCCGCUGUAAUAC
rnacentral:rRNA from 1 species